UCCGAUAUGGUGUAGUGGCCAACAUGAUGCCCUCUCAACUCCAGUGGAAGGUUAGGCAUAGCCCCGAGUUCGAUUCUCGGUUUCGGAA
rnacentral:tRNA from 1 species